rnacentral:rRNA from 1 species
UACGUAGGUCCAAAGCGUUGUCCGGAUUUAUUGGGCGUAAAGCGAGCGCAGGUGGUUUCUUAAGUCUGAUGUAAAAGGCAGUGGCUCAACCAUUGUGUGCAUUGGAAACUGGGAGACUUGAGUGCAGGAGAGGAGAGUGGAAUUCCAUGUGUAGCGGUGAAAUGCGUAGAUAUAUGGAGGAACACCGGAGGCGAAGGCGGCCUACUGGGCUUUUACUGACGCUGAGGCUCGAAAGCGUGGGGAGCAAACA